rnacentral:SRP_RNA from 1 species
GCCGGGCGCGGUGGCUCAAGCCUGUAAUCCCAGCACUUUGGGAGGCCGAGACGGGUGGAUCACGAGGUCAGGAGAUCAAGACCAUCCUGGCUAACACGGUGAAACCCCGUCUCUACUAAAAAAAUACAAAAAACUAGCCGGGCGAGGUGGCGGACGCCUGUAGUCCCAGCUAGUUUUUUGUAUUUUUUUAGUAGAGACGGGGUUUCACCGUGUUAGCCAGGAUGGUCUCGAUCUCCUGACCUCGUGAUCCACCCGUCUCUA